UGGCUCAGUGGUAGAGUGCUUGCCUUGCAUGCAUGAGGACCUGGGUUCGAUUCCUCAG
rnacentral:tRNA from 1 species